rnacentral:rRNA from 1 species
UACGGGGGGGGCAAGCGUUGUUCGGAAUUACUGGGCGUAAAGGGCUCGUAGGCGGCCAACUAAGUCAGACGUGAAAUCCCUCGGCUUAACCGGGGAACUGCGUCUGAUACUGGAUGGCUUGAGUUUGGGAGAGGGAUGCGGAAUUCCAGGUGUAGCGGUGAAAUGCGUAGAGAUUUGGAGGAACACCAGUGGCGAAGGCGACUUUCUGGUCUGUAACUGACACUGAGGCGCGAAAGCGUGGGGAGCGAACAGG